GGCCACUUAGAUCAGUUGGUUAGAGCGUGGUGCUAAUAACGCUAAGGUUGUGGGUUCAAUCCCCGUAGGGGCCA